CUUGUGGAACACAAAGCAGACUUGGAAGUAUCAAACCGUCAUGGGCAUACAUGCUUGAUGAUCUCAUGUUACAAAGGCCACAAAGAAAUUGCUCAGUAUUUACUUGAAAAAGGAGCUGAUGUUAACAGAAAAAGUGUUAAAGCCGCCAAGACCCCCGCCACAAGACACAGCGUCCACCAGGGCUGCCACCAGGACCACUGCCACCCCGGGGGGAGGGAGCCGCCUGCAUCGGGACCGCUGCUGCAACUGAGAGAGCCACUGUUUUGGCAGAAUAGCUCCUGUUUGGACAAACUAGCUUUCCAGUUCCCCACAGCUUCUACACAGCUUCCCAGGAUUUUCCCGGGAAAACCAUGUCUCUCUCUGUUCAGAAGAUGUAGGCCUGCAAGGCCUCCCUGGUGGUCAGCAGCCUAAGAUAAGAAAUGCCUAGUCAUGAUGACUGGACCAAAGAAGCCCCUCUUCUGCCUUCGGACCCUCGUUAUCUCUCUGUAAGACGAUAGGUCAUAUUUGCCUCAACCCUUAUUUUUGAACUGUUUCCCAAAACCCCUAUACCCUAUAUAAACCCCUAUUUCUGUGCUGUUCAGCAGAAGAGCUGUCACUGUGACCCUUUGCAGAUGCUGCCAAUAAAGACACCUCUGUGGAACCUCCUACAGCCUUCUCCUCUCUCUCCCCGCGUCUGCUGAGGCACUUAGCAAGCAAAGAGCUGAAUUCACCAAAGAGCUGAUCUCACUUAAGAGCUGAGCUGCUUGCUAAGAUUGCCUGUGACUGGGAGCCUGCCUGAGGGAUGUGGACAGGUUGUGCUUAGCAAGACUUAGCUAUCCGGACACCUAUGGCAGCUGGGGUCAGAGAGACCUCAAAAACCCCUGCCAUAAUAAAAUUUGGUGCUCCGAACGGCGUGCUUGGCAUCCUGGCACUCCAGAGAAGCAGCAUUCUUCUUGAAUAGUUACUGCCUCAGUUUGCUACAACCUCCUGAAGAUAAGUUUUCCAUUAUAGAAGAAGUUAUCUGAAGAGGCAUCCGACGACCCUCCACAUCAACAUCUGGGAUGUGAUCCUGAGGAGUCGGACAUGGCAGACCACCCACCAGCAGUUUUUGACCCACAUUCGGCUGAAGAAGUGCAAGCAUGGGACAAAAGGUGGUCCUUUUGACAUCUUAAUUAUAGGUGUCACUCUCCAUGGCCCAGAGGAAAUCUUUGUUGUUCCAGAAGUACAAACAGUGCACCCGGGACAAGAAAUCUCUGUCCAGCUGUACUGCACGGACUUACCAUUGUAACUUUCACAGGGAACUCCGAUUGCACAAGCCUUUCUACUCCCAAAGAAUCACAGGAAACAGCUUCCUCUCAACUCUACAGCAAUGUGGGCACAAGUUGUGGGUCCAAGCAAGCCUACCAUUGAGUGUGGACUUUCCUGCAGAGGAGACAAGAUCUACCGACCAGGGAUGCUGGACACCUGUGCCGACAUGACCAUCAUCGCCCGCUCAGAAUGGCCGGCAAACUGGGAACUACAACUGCUAGCAGGCAUGAUUUCAGGGAUUGGUGGAACCACAGUGUCUAUGCGAAGCAAGCACAACAUUCUCGUCGAAAGGCCUGAAGGCAAGUUAGCAACCAUCCGCCCAUUUGUGGUAAGGCCCCCCAUCAUCCUUUGGGGGAGGGAUGUUCUAUCCCAGUGUGGAGCUUCCCUGUGUAUUCCCAGUCGGGAUUUCUAAUUGGGGCCACUGAGGAGCGUGCACUACCAGAUACCCUGCAGCUCACCUGGAAAUGCCAUGACCCGAUCUGGAUCGAACAGUGGCCCCUCUCUAAAGUCAAACUGCAUGUAGUACAAGCCCUUGUGGAAGAACAGCUUGCCAAAAGCCACAUUGUCGAGACCACCAGCCCUUGGACCUCCCCAGUCUUCGUACUGUAAAAACCUGGAACAGACAGGUGGAGUCUCCUCCACGACCUUUGCAAAAAUCAAUAAGGUCAUCGAGGACAUGGGCCCUCUCCAGCCUGGCCUGCCUUCACCAUCGAUGCUGCCUAGAGACUGGACACUUGCUAUCAUAGAUAUUAAAGACUGUUUCUUCAGCAUUCUGCUGCACGCCCAGGAUGCUCCACGGUUUGCUUUCUCCGUUCCCUCUCUUAACAGAGAGGCUCCACUCAAAAGUUAUCAUUGGUGUUAUCUUCCUCAAGGAAUGAAAAACUUGCCUACUAUAUGCCAGUGGUACAUUGCUCACAUUCUGUCUGCCGUGCAGAACCUAUUUCCAGGUGCAAUCGUCUACCACUAUAUGGAUUAUAUCCUGGUCUGUGCAUCAGAAAAAACUUACUUAGACAAAGCAGUUAAAAAGACCAUCAAAACCAUAGAAAAAGCAGGAUCCGAGAUCCGUCAGGACAAAAUACAGUACACCAACCCAUGGACUUAUCUCAGAUUCCAGAUCCGUGAAAGGACUUUCGUACCCCAGCAGCUCACCAUCCGAGACGACCCAAAAACCCUGAGAGACUUACACAGUCUGUGGGGAUCCAUCAACUGGGUAUGUCCCCUGCUAAGAAUUACAACAGAGGACCUCGCUUCCCUGUUCAACCUUCUCCGUGGCAGCGAAGACCUGGACUCUCCACACACUCUAACACCAGAAGCCCGAGAUGCCAUCACCAAGGUCCAAGAAGCCCUGUCUUCUUGCAAAGCCCAUUGCUUCAAGCCCAGCCUUCCUUUCCAGUUUGUCAUUCUGGGAAAAGCACCCCUGUACUAUGGACUGAAUUUCCAAUGGGAUCCUCAACUUUGAGACCCUUUAUUGAUACUGGAAUGGAUCUUUACAAACAACCAACCUUCAAAGACAAUUACCACUUCAAGAAAUCAUGGGACAUCUAAUAAAAAAAGCCAGAACUCACCUCCGCUCCCUUGCAGGGUGUGAGUUCACUUGCCACUGGCCACUGGGGACCGGGAGCAUUUGCUCCAGACCAGUGAAAAUUUCCAGUUUGCCCUUGAUAUCUAUACAGGCCAAAUUUCCAUCCAUACCCCAAAACAUAAACUUUUUAAUGGUGAUGCAGCCUUUAAUCUGACCCCAAAAUUAGUCCAAAGUAAAACACCUCUCAAAGCUCUAACCAUUUUUACAGACAGCUCAGGGUCAUCCCACAAUUCUGUAAUGGCCUGGAAGGACCCUAAGACCCAAAAAUGGGAAUCUGACAUUCAAAUAGUGGAGGGAUCUCCACAGAUCGCAGAGUUAGCAGCUGUUGUCAGUGCCUUUGAGAAAUUCAAAGACGAACCCUUUAAUCUGGUCACAGAUUCAGCUUAUGUUGCUGGUAUAGCUAUGAGAGCGGAACAUGCUCUUCUCAAAGAAGUUUCCAAUCCAAAGUUACGCCAAUUGAUUUCUACAUUAACACGCUUAAUCUCCCACAGAAAACAACCUUACCAUAUAAUGCAUGUGAGGUCACACACCGACCUCCCAGGUAUCAUCACAGAAGGGAUCAGGAAAGCGGAUGCAUUGGCCAUGGCAACAGAGACUGCUAACGUCCCUGACAUCUUUGCCCAGGCAAAGUUGUCACACGCAUUUUAUCAUCAAAAUGUACCUGCCCUUCUCAGAAUGUUCAAGCUCUCAAAAAAUCAAGCAAAAGCUAUUGUUGCCACAUGCCUGAACUGCCAAAACUACUAGAUACCGUCUAUGGGGAAGGGAGUCAAUCCCCGAGGCCUGAACAGCUGCCAGCUGUGGCAGACAGAUGUAACUCACUUCCCACCUUUUGGAAGGUCAAAAUAUGUGCAUGUAUUGGUCGAUAUGUUCUCUGGAGCAGUAUUUGCAUCAGCUCAUCCAGGAGAAACUACACAGCACACCAUAAAACAUUUCCUCCUUGCCUUCGCCACCCUAGGAGUACCAAAGGAAAUCAAAACAGACAAUGGACCUGCCUAUACCUCUUGUAAGUUAAAAGAGUUCUUCAGUGAAUGGGGAAUAGAACACAAGAAAGGCAUACCUGCAAACCCCACAGGACAAUCCAUCGUGGAAAGGACACAUCAAACCCUCAAAAGAGUUCUCAAUCAGCAGCGAAGAGAAACAGAAAACAUAUCUCCAUUUGGAAAGACUUUGCAAGGCUCUCUAUGUCAACAACUUCCUGAACUGUACAACAUCAGAGCCUGACCCACCAAUACUUCGCCACUUUGCAAAUACCGCCCAAGCAAAGCUCACUGAGAAACCACCUGUGCUAGUGAAGGACCUAGAAACACAUAAAAUUUCUGGGCCUUUCCAGUUGAUUACUUGGGGAAGAGGGUAUGCGUAUGUUCUACUACUGUCUGGCCCAAGAUGGUACCCAGGAAAAAACAUAUAACCAUACCUAGGCACUGAAAACACUACUCCCACAAAGAGUGACAAGAAUUCUCCUGAGUCAAAUACAAGACCUCAAAACCAGACCAGUUCUGCCUGGAGAUGAAGGCGUCGCCAAACAUCCACAUACCGGAGACAAGACCGUCCCAUCAUGUGACAGCAGACAAAACAGAAAGCUGAACAACAUUGUGCUGCAUCAGUCAAGCCAUAAGCCAGAAAGAGCCUGAACACAAAUUGUUCUCUGAAUUACAUGUUAUUACCCCUUUUACCAUAAAAAACCCUAUUGCUCCCCUUUUUCAACUUUUACCAAAAACCCCUAGCCGUAUACCCACUCCCCCAUCCUUAGCUUAUAGAAAGAGAGAGGAAAAAAAAGGGCGGGGGGAGGGGGAGAAGGAAAGUAAGAAAGGAACAAGGGGGAAAACCCUAACCCUCCCCUCCCACCAUGAAGAUAACACAUUUUGCUUCUAUUCCCUAUCAGAAGCCCCAUCCCUUUCCAAAGAUGAAAAUUAUCUCUGUUGGUGCUGUCCUCACUGCUGCGGGGAUGCUCCUCACCGUACCAUAUGCCAUCAGCUGGAUUAGCCCAGAGCCUAGCCAUAAUGUUUGGGUAACCUUAGCAAAGACAUUAAAACAGGAUAACAUGUGCUUAUUCAUGGGAAGCCUUGAUAAACCACUUUCCAAAUGUCUGGUAGGAAUUCCCUUCGUAGCUGAUGACUGGCCCGUCUAUAAUUCAGAGCUCCUCCACACCACAGGUGAGAGACCCAACCUGGUAGAUACUUGGGACGAGUGGACAAAAAUGUUGCCCGGUGCUCUAGAGGAACCCCGAGAAUUGGACCUGUUUGGGGUUUCCAAAGCAACAUUCUGUGUCAAAUUUUACUUGAGAUGUCUGAAGAAUAAUUGGCCAGAAAUUGACCAGACAAAAAACACAUACAGAAAAGACAUAUCACCCAUUAACAAGGCCUAUAACCCUCCUGAUUGGUGUAGUUACACUGCUCGCGUGAUCUCUGUAUCCUCUCUCCACCCCAAAGUACUACCCAAAGGAACGUUUCUCAUCUGUGGUGACCAAGUAUGGGCUGGGAUUCUCUCACGGCUCCAGGGAGGUCCCUGUAGCCUUGGAAAACUUUCUACCCUCACUCCAAAUAUCGCCUUGUUACAUAAUUGGAAAAAAAGAAAGCUAAUUAAAAUGCCACAAAAGAUCCUACACGGAAUUUGAUGAAAAUUGCGAUCCCAAAUUAUACGAUUGGAAGAAACCAAAAAAGAUAGCUGUCUCUAUAUUCCUACCAUGGGUAGCUGCAGCUAAGGCCCUUGGUGAAAUAAAUCACCUUGGGUACUGGCUCAGUAAGCAAACCAACACUACAUCUACUGCCCUGAGUGAUCUUUUAAAGGAAGAAGAAACCACAAGACGUGCAUCACUUCAAAAUCUAGCCGCGAUUGACUUCCUGCUGCUUGCCCACGGACAUGGCUGCCAAGGCUUCGAAGGGAUGUCCUGCUUCAAUCUCUCUUCACUCUCAGAAUCCAUCCAUGCAAACAUCCAGAAACUGAAGGAACUUGUGAAGGACUUAAAAGCAGAAAACAACCCAGACUGGGUCAAUGACUUUUUCGGUCAAUGGGGAUUAACAGGAUGGGUUGCAUCUUGGGUUAAGGGAAUUCUGUGGAUUUUCAUUGCAAUUGUCAUUGUAUUAGCUAUGUUCUCAUGUCUGUUCCAUUGCUUUAAAAGAACUACUGGGAACGCCUUUUUACUAAAUACAAAAAGUGGAGUUGUAGCAGGCACAGGGCCUGCAAGGCCUCCCUGGCGGUCUGUUGCCUAAGAUAAGAAAUGCCUAGUCAUGAUGACUGGACCAAAGUAGCCCCUGUUCUGCCUUCGGACCCUCCUUAUCUCUUUGUAAGAUGAUAGGUCACUUUUGCCUCGGCCCUUACUAUUGAGCUGUUUCCUAAAACCCCUAUACCCAUAUAAACACCCACCUCUGCUAAGUUCUUCAGAAGAGCUGUCACUGUGACCCUUUGCAGAAGCUGCCAAUAAAGACACCUCUGUGGAACCACA